GCAAGCUACUUAAAAUAUUUAUUUCUCGCGUAAAGUUGCAAAUAAAUUCCAAAUUCGACUAAAAAUUCCAGUCAUUAGAAAUUCUUGUCCUUCGCAAGUCAAGAUCAUGUCACUUCCUUUUAGAUCGCUUCGACUUUUUACACAUUGUCGUCGACACGAAAAGACCAAAUGAAGCAUCUCAACUCGUCGUCUCUUCAACUGUUAUUUAUGUACAUGCAAUAAAUCAUAAUAAAGUAAAUCUUAACCUCGUCGUUAGAAUCGCGACUUGCAUUUUAAAUGCAUUACGUGACGAGCUAAAGUGGCACUGACAAUAAUAAUUGGCAUUGUCCGGUAGAACAGAAUUUCUUAAAGUUCACGCUCGAUCAUCGGAUGCAACUUGUAAACGAUAACGAUUUUCACGUCAAUAAACCCUUCAACUGUGACUCAUAAAUGGGCCCAAUUAUGUACAGAGCGACGGUUUUAUGGUAACAACGAAGCCACUGAAAAUACUGUCACGUGUGAGCGUCAUUGUUCGACGAAAUUUAAAAUUCAAAUUUUUCACUUUUUAUCAAAACCUGACCCAACCUAACUCGGUAACGUCAACUUCCUGUUUUCGACAAAAUAAAUCGUUUAAGCGAAAGGAAGUGUUAAACCAUCAAGAUCCACCGAUAACACAUCAUACAAUAAUUAGGUUCACUGCACUCAAGACUGAGACGUAAAUUGAAGAUUUUAAUUUGAGCAAGAAGCAAAAACGUUUCCUUUCACUGCACGACUAAUUAUUUCCAAAGGAUUCACGACUCAGUUCUCUGUUUCCUCCAAAUUAUUCAGACGUCUCAAACAAUAAGAUCGAUUUUAUUGGGUUGGAAGAGGCCCCAGGACACGAUCUAUAGACGAUAACGAAAUUAGAACAAACGACAACCUUCCGCACCUGAAAUCCACAGCAAAGGCUCGAAAUUGAACACAAUGAGAGAAAAAAGAUUUUAUUGCACAGGCCACCAAAAUUUUAUAAAUUACGUCGUUAAAGCAAUUUGAUUGGACACGAAACUGGAUAUCUCUCAGAGGCUCACUAGAGCUGAAUUAUUUUGAUUUUGGGAAUCAAUCAAAAUAGAAAAUGCUAAAAUGAAACAUUUUUAUAAAAAAUCUUUCUUAACGUGUCGCUACAAAUGUUUGUAUUCGUUUCGGUGACGCUGACUCAUACGCUAAAAAACAGGUAGUCAAUUAAACAGUUCACAAUACUUGCGAUUUUAAAGCAUUGCUCAUUCAUUAAUUACAUAACUGGAAAACAAGUGCUUGAAGCUUGUUAAA